UACGAAGGGGGCUAGCGUUGUUCGGAAUUACUGGGCGUAAAGGGCGCGUAGGCGGUGUGUCAAGUCAGGCGUGAAAGCCCCGGGCUCAACCUGGGAACCGCGCUUGAGACUGGCACGCUCGAGUUCGGGAGAGGAUGGUGGAAUUCCCAGUGUAGAGGUGAAAUUCGUAGAUAUUGGGAAGAACACCGAUGGCGAAGGCAGCCGUCUGGACCGACACUGACGCUGAGGCGCGAAAGCGUGGGGAGCAAACAGG
rnacentral:rRNA from 1 species